UUUCUGGCAGCCCUGGUCACUCAGAGUCAGUCGUCCUCGUCACUCUGCACGGUCAGCCUGAUACCUUCCUGGCGGCUGCCCGAGUCAGUCGCAUUGACGACUUUGACGUUACUUUCGAGUAAGGUAUUGUUGCGUCUCCGAGCACAAGGGCCACGGUCAUAGUUCUAAUGGCAUUUACAACUACACAUCAAAUGAACACGCCAAUGUUGUUACAUUACAGCUCGGGGCAUAUGAAAUUGUAGAAAAUGCAGUGGGAAGCACAGGUUUGUGGACAUUGACAUCACCAAGCAGUAUUCAAGGUUGUGGUAAUAUAUUUAUUACAUUUUGUAAAUCUGGUAAACUAUAGCAACCAAAGUUUGGUCUGUUAGGGUAAAAGUUACAUGGCCAUUGCCAGGAACAUGUAAAGUCAUGGCAGAAUAUUGAAUUGAAGGAGUGAUUCCUCUUUAAUGUUAAGUGAUUCUAUUAUCAACGUGGUAAUUUUUUUAUUUUCGUCGUAUCCGCGUCCGAAGGGGCUGUGGUUGUACCGCCCACCAAAUGCUAACUGCCAGCCGUAUGACUGUAGCUCACAUGACUAGAGUAAUAUGCACCUAAUUGAUGCCAAAACAUAAAGUCUUCAUAUUAUUUUCAAAACAUUGCCAACUGAAUUUUCACCAAAAUCAGGUAAAUAUUGAAGUUUCUCUCAUAGUUACUAAGCUUCUUUAUGAUUUAUGACAACAGUAAGCUGUACUAUACUGUUUUUUUUCCAUCUGUCCAUCUGCCUGUGGUGUUUUCGCAUGGUAACACUGUGUCCCAGGUUUUAAAUAGUUAGGCUAUGUCUAAGUUUUAGGUAAAUAAAAGGAUAUCUGGAUAUACAAAUGCAACUGAAAAGUGUUUUAAUAAUUUACUGUAUGCGAAUUACACCGUUAAUAUUUGAAAAAUAGGAUAUUAUUUAAAGCCCGGGACGCAGUGUUACCAUGCGCAAACACCACAGGCGGAUGCCAGAUGGAUAAAAACAGUUUUUAUAGGUAGGGUCAGUCUAAUGUUUACACAGAGAAGAGUGUGUACACUUGGAAUGUAUUAAUUACCCUUUGGAAAAGGCGAUUAGAGAAAACUCAGUGAAGUGUUUGCAAAAUAUCAACAUUUCCUAACAUAUUAAAUUGAAUAAAACAAAGCAAGGGGAAGACAAACUAUUUCUAUAGUAGUUUUAUCCGCACAACAGAGGAACACAGGCAGGAGCAAGUUGUCAGCACUCCAGUGUUAACAUUAUUAAAAAAAAAAAAUGUAAUUGGCCUUGUGUUGGCCAAACGUACUAUUGAUAUAUUAUUGCCGGGUAAAGUGAACACAGCCACUCAAAUUGACCACACACAAGCUCUCACAAUGAUCAGGUGAGAGAGAGAGAAAACAGUUCAGAAUCAUAAACUGAGAAAUGUGAUGAGCUCCAGAAAUCCAGGGAUAUUUUUCUAGGCUCAGUUGAAUUUGCCUGUGGAUAUGGUUCCAGUUUAGAUGCUAGUUUUUAAAGGAGCAUUAAAUCAAUACAGAAUUAACUUUUAGAAUUAUAUAGAAAUUAAAAAAAAAAAAAAAAAACAA